AAGGGAAACGUAGGCUACAACCCAUCUACGAGUUCUGGUUAAAUUGAACUGGUCUUAGACCUUCGUGGUGAAGGUGAUCUUGAAGAGGCCUUACCUUUUCACCGCUCAAUGCCCAGGGACUUCCCUCUUCAUCGUGAUGAUAUUAAUUGUGAUGGGGAACUUGCAUGGACCAAUAGAGGACCAGAGUAGCUUGAGGACCAACACAAACAAUGUCUCACUCAGGUGUGCAUCGGGCUGCCUUUGGCCCUGGGAACAGCCUGAACUCUGGCCUCUCUCGGUAGAGAGCCACAGCUGCCGUGGAAGCCCAGAGAUCGCUCCACAGAGUGGCUGUUCGCACGUAACCUCAGCGGACUCUGGAAAAAUGAACAGGCAUUAAAAUGAAUGUGGUGGGUUUUUUAAACUUUGAAUCCAAAAUAAGACAUUGGCCUUUCUCAAAAAAGUCAAAUAUUAUUAGCUGACAUUAAAGUCAAUUGCAGUGUAAAUGCAAAAGUCUACUCACUAGAUGAACGAAUACAGUUUCAGUUGCAUUUUCCUCUAGAUAAAUAAAGUAUUUUUGAGUGACACCAUUUAAACGUUUUUCAACGUACAUCUAUUUCAUGACUUAUUUUUAUAUCCAAAUUGUAAUAUCAUGCUGCAACAACAACCAAUUAAACAGAUUUCUGAACAA